CCCCUGGUGGCUGAGACAAUAAAGAACCUGCCUGUAAUGUAGGAGAUCCAGGUUCGAUCCCUGGGUUGGGAA
rnacentral:tRNA from 1 species